AGGCAACAUACCUCAAUUCAGAAACAUUAGUCGUGUGGACGUGUGAUGCGGUUGAAGGUGCAGUACCAGGGCUCCUAUCGCUGCCGGUACCCCGACGGUCAGGGCCAUGGCGGUGGUGGACCUGCCAUUCUCGGACUUUCCGAACUCUAGCAGCGUCGCUUGGUGCUUCUCAGCGGGUCGUCCGUCGGGAUACUCCACCUCGACUUCAUGGUGGAGCAGUACCAUGUCCUGAAUUAUGAGAGCAAAGUAAUUAGUGAGUCUAAACAUGGUGGUCCAAGUAAGCCAGCUUUUUUUAACCUGUUCUCUAAGCCUGCUGGAAAUGGUUUGUGAGAUAUUGUUUUGGAAAUAUAAUGUGAAAUGUAGAAGUUUAGGUUGGUCAUUAAACUGUCAGUCUACUACAACACUAUAAGUGACCAAUAAUGUGUCUCUGUGUGUGGAAUUUGGUGCUGAAAAAUGCGCACUUGAUUAUGCCAAAAA